GCUCACUCUGAUUAGAUUUACAUUGUAUGAGAUGAUGUAUCCUUGCUCUCACCUACCUCGCAGACAGCCUUGAGCCCUGAGUCUUCCACUCCUUUGUCCAGUGGCUCCCUUUGAAGAACUGCCUGGGGUUCGGGUUGCAGCAUCAAACGUGGAAGGAAGAGGCAUCUGGCUUUAGUAGCUAGAGUCUCUAACGCAGCUAAGGCCCUGAGGGGUGCCUGGCACACGGACUCCAGCACACAGCAGAGAGCACAGCAGGGUGGGGCUGUAUCUGCAGCUGCAGUGGGAGGAGGAGACACACCCAGGCCGUGGGCAGAUAGAUACAAGACUCCAAGAGUAUACGGAGCUUCACAUACGCAGACACAUACAUGACCACCAGUGUGAGUUCGGGUGUAUGCAUGUAGAGAGACACCCCUGUGUUCACGAAUAGUGAAGAGGCAAUAGCUUCUGAAAGGAACACAAUUUUGUCCUCAGCUUCCCGCCGGUGACAGUCUGAACCUGUCACUGAACUGUCCUUCCAGGUGGGGUUCCUUGUCUCGACCCCUGCCACAGUUCCAGUCUUUCUAACUGCUUUCCUGGACAACCAGGAACAAUAGUCUUGGAGUGAAUUCCUUCUCUGUUCUCAUCUGCUCUUCAGACCUUCCUGUAUGCCACAGUGGUGCGACAUGAGUGUCAGGAAAAGACCCACAGCAGAUGCCUGCCAUGGCCCAUGUUUUCCAUUUCCAUCUUUGUUUUCAGCAAGACCUUCUACCAUCUCCUGACACUCUUGUCUCCAAUCCAGCUGCCUCAGUUCUGUGCUUGGCUCCCAGAGCUGGCUCACUGAAGGAGAGUUAGAUUGAUCGACUCAAUGGCUUCUUAGGCUUGCUUCUAGUCUGAGGAUUCUGAGCUGAAUAAUGCUCUUCCUCUCUGCCGGCCUCCUGAGACACUGGCAGCCAGGAGCUGCUCAAGGUAGCCCCUCCUCGGGUCUCUACAGUUGCUCUGACUGGAGUUCUUGGAGCUGAGCUGAGUGGUGAUUUGGGGGACCGGAACAGCCAAGGAGGCUUUCCACUUCAAAAGGCAGUCAUUGCAGCCUGGCCCCCAGCAGCUGCCUAGCUCCUCCUGUACAUCCCCAGGGAUGCUGCAGAUGUGGCUGGGGUUCCCAUAGCAACCUCUGUGGGACCUGCUGUGCCUGCAUCAUCACAUCUCUCGGCCUCAUGUGAGAGCAAGAAACCGAGACUCCAAAGUUCACCGAGCAUACAUACAAGAAAGUAAGGACAUACAUCUCUAACCAGCUUGUAUUGGAAAUAGUCAGAACCCACCAGAGUCCUGGUUGCCAGCAAGAAAAACCCAGCUCUAUAUCAGAUUUGAUGGAAAAGUGCAGUGCACACCUAGAGAGUUCAGACUUUAAGAGGUAGGACCCAGUACCACCUUUUGGACAGGAGAGUCUCUACCAAGCCUAUGUUCCCUGGAUCAGUAGGUGGUUCCCAGCCAAUAUAAGGAUGCUGGAAAACGGAAUGGAUGCUAGACAGGCCCAAUCUCAAAGGGUCAGAGAGCCAGCCUUAGGUUCAUGUUCUACUGUUGCAACAAAACAAGCUAAACGGAUGGAAGGCUGUGGCUUGGGGACCUAGAGGUUUCAGUCUAUGGUCCCUUGGGUCCACUCAUUUGGGCCUGUGGUGAGUCUGUACAUCACAGGAGGGAGACCUGAGGAGUUGGAAGAGGCUGAUCAGGGCGGUUCUUCCAAAUGGAAGAGAAAGCAAGUUCAAAGGUUCUGAGGCUGGAGCUUUGUAAGCAAGGGAUAGAUGAGGAUGGAGAAGUAUCGGGUGAUGGCAUGGAGUUUGAAUUGCAUUCUGGGUAAAUGGAUAAAUCACUGGGGAUAUUCUAGCAUGAGUGCUUUCUUAUAUAACUGUUUUCUUUGGGCCGCAUACAACCUUUGAAGCAGAGCAGUCUCAGUUACUGACAGACAUCCUCGUCCUCACAAGAUCAGGAUCAUUAACAUACCCUGGGAAAAUGGAGGAAAGAGCCUCCUCGAGGAGCCUCCGCAAGCCCUUCCCUCCCCUCCAAAAGACAAUAGAGGAGGUGGUGGAGCUGGGAUCAGAACCCUGGCCUGAGAUUGCCAGUAGCCCACUCGACUAUCCAGAGGCCCGUUGUACCAUGACUUCACUGCUGCCAUGGUUACCUGCAGGACAAGAUCAGGGUCUCCCAAGAAAGUCGUUUAAGCUACGAUGUUUUGGAGCAAUUCCCUACGAAGCAACAGUGAAGCCACCCCUUGAGUCCCACCGCUUGGCUGGACCUCUGAUAAUCAAUGAUUUAGGCUAGAAGAGGAUAUCAAAUCCCCUGGAGCUUGGGUUACAUACAGGUGGUAUUAGCCACCUGUCAUGGAUGCUGGGAACCAAACUCAGGUCCUCAAUGAGAUCAUCAAGCACUUAACAGCUGGACCAUCUUCCCAGUCCUCAGAGUGUUGACCAGUAAAGAAGAAUAGACCUAGAUGAUGCCUGUCAGGACCAGUUUCUACCAGGAAAAAGACUAACUUGUGCUUGUCUAGUGAAUUUUACCUUCUGCAUCAAAUUUAAGAGCACAAGCUGGGCAACCCAUACAGCAUCCACACAUCCUGCAUUUGAAAGAAUAGGGCUCUUCUUAACCACUCAAUAUUCUAUGUUUUUCAGCUUCCUCUGGGUUCAAUUCAUAUAAGCAGCUAAUUGAUCUUGAGCUUGAUUCAGCUCAUAGAUGUCAUCACUGUGGAUCAAAGGUCCCUGGGCAACCAGCUCUAAGUCUGAAGCAUUGAAGGCAAGCAGGUAG